rnacentral:rRNA from 1 species
UACGGGAGGCAGCAGUGAGGAAUUUUGCGCAAUGGGGGAAACCCUGACGCAGCAACGCCGCGUGAGUGAAGAAGGCCUUUGGGUCGUAAAGCUCUGUCAACAGGGAAGAAAUUAUUUUUUUUUAAUAGGGGAUUGUAUUGACGGUACCUGCAGAGGAAGCACCGGCUAACUCCGUGCCAGCAGCCGCGGUAAUACGGGGGGGGCAAGCGUUUUUCGGAAUUAUUGGGCGUAAAGGGCGCGUAGGCGGUUUUGUCGGUCAGAUGUGAAAGCCCGGGGCUCAACCCUGGAAGUGCAUUUGAAACAGCAAGACUUGAAUACUGGAGGGGAAAGCGGAAUUCCUGGUGUAGAGGUGAAAUUCGUAGAUAUCAGGAGGAACACCGAUGGCGAAGGCAGCUUUCUGGACAGAUACUGACGCUGAGGCGCGAAGGCGUGGGGAGCGAACAGGAUUAGAUACCCCGGUAGUCCACGCAGCCACAUUUCCCUAGGUGUAUCGGAUAUUAAAAUCUUCUGUGCCGCAGCUAACGCAUUAAGUAUC